GAGGGUAUAGCUCAGUGGUAGAGCACAUGCUUAGCAUGCAUGAGGUCCUGGGUUCAACCCCCAGUACCUCCA
rnacentral:tRNA from 1 species